rnacentral:rRNA from 1 species
CAGUAGCCGCGGUAAUACGAAGGGUGCAAGCGUUAAUCGGAAUUACUGGGCGUAAAGGGUGCGUAGGCGGUUGUUUAAGUCUGUUGUGAAAUCCCCGGGCUCAACCUGGGAAUGGCAAUGGAAACUGGACGGCUAGAGUGUGUCAGAGGAUGGUGGAAUUCCCGGUGUAGCGGUGAAAUGCGUAGAGAUCGGAAGGAACAUCUGUGGCGAAGGCGACUAUCUGGGCCAACACUGACACUGAGGCACGAAAGCGUGGGGAGCAAACAGGAUUAGAUACCCCUGUAGUCCCUGUCUCUUAUAC